rnacentral:hammerhead_ribozyme from 1 species
AUCCAGCUGACGAGUCCCAAAUGGGACGAAACGCGCAUCCUGGAC